GGAUGAGGCUUCAUCCUGGAGGAUAUGUGAGUUUGAAUAUCCACCGUGUUUUACAUUGAAUCUAGAAUCACAAAAUCAAUUCAAUUACAAUUGAUGAUAUUAAAGGUCAAUAGGUGUAUUUAUUUUAUUUUUGUGAUAUUGAAGGUUAGUAUAUUUACUGUCCUAUGAAAAAAUCUUUUAAUUUUUUGGUAUUUGUUACUUAAUUUUAUAUUAAUUUUGUGUUUAUUCUACUAGGUAUCUAAGAAAUACAUCAAGAAGAAGACAAUGAUGCAGAAACAAAGAUCACCUCUUAUGAAGAUAAUGUUGUACUUUUCAAUUUAAGUUUGUAUAUUAUUUUAAUUGAAUGUUUUUAGCUAAGUUUUGUUUCUAUAUAGAAAAUAGAGAGGUACUUGAAAAACAUUUAUGGAAUUGUGUUCUUAAUAUUUAAUGUAUAUGUAAUGAUUUUUUUUCUUAAAUAGUAAUUUAUUUAAAUUA
rnacentral:lncRNA from 1 species